CACCAGCCCCUCGAGUGGUGGGGAUGAUUAUUUGGCCUAAAGCGUCCGUAGCUUGCCAGGAAAGUUUCCCGUUAAAUCCAGCGUCUCAAGCGUUGGACUGCGGGAAAUACUAUCUGGCUAGAGAGUGGGAGAGGUGUACGGUAUACUGGGGGUAGGGGCGAAAUCCUUUGAUCCCUGGAGGACCACCAGUGGCGAAGGCUGUACACUAGAACACGUCUGACGGUCAGGGACGAAAGCUGGGGUAGCGAACCGGAUUAGAUACCCGGGUAGUCCCAGCUGUAAACGAUGCAUGCUAGGUGUUGGGUUGGCCAUGAGCCACCCCAGUGCCGCAGGGAAGCCGUUAAGCAUGCCGCCUGGGAAGUACGAUCGCAAGAUUGAAACUUAAAGGAAUUGGCGGGGGAGCACCACCAGGCGUGAAGCCUGCGGUUU
rnacentral:rRNA from 1 species